rnacentral:misc_RNA from 1 species
UCAAACUUGGUCAUUUAGAGGAAGUAAAAGUCGUAACAAGGUUUCCGUAGGUGAACCUGCGGAAGGAUCAUUAUUAUUUGCAUCGGGUUUAUUCUGUCGUUCGGUUCUUUUUUUUUCCUAUUUCUAUCAGUUUCUUAACGGAAUAAACCUGAUACAAAUAGUUAUCGACUUUUGCCUCGGAGUUCUAGAAAUAGGGCUCUAGGAGCAAGGAUGAUUACAUAUUUAAAACCCAACUCUUUGAAUCAAUAUUAUAAUAUUUAAUUAAAUAAAAGAUCACUUUCAACAACGGAUCUCUUGGCUCUCGCAUCGAUGAAGAACGCAGC